UCAUGGGUGCUGGCAGCUCGCAGUGAAUCACAUCAUGGGAGCCAGCACAGAGAGCAGGGCUCCUAGCUGGGAUGGCUCUUAGCCCUCAUGUGGUUCCAUUUACCCAAAUUUGGGGUUACAAGCUGGGAAAGGGCAUAAUUGACUGAGCCUUAUAAAUGCCCCAAAAAGCAGGAAUUGGGUGAUUUUCAUUAUUAUUUUGAAUUGCCUUUGCCUGUGAUCAAUAAGGGUGUGGUGCUGACAGUCCCAGAUCAAUCAGUACACGAUUACCAUGUGCAGUGCUAAGAGAAUGUACAGCUCCAUGUAACAAUAGGAUCUCCAUUGAUUUGCUUUUUUUAAUCACUUCUGCAGCAAUUAUAGGUGGUCAGUCUAUUUACUUGACAUGUUUUCUAGUGAAUUCUAGUUGAAUCAUCUGGCAUUGAAUGGGCUUAUUCUUACCCAAGAGGUAAUUUACUGAAAUUGAAGAGGCAGAACUUCGGUGUCCAGCACAACAAUUCUAGCUAAAAGAAUAUGUGAGAGGUGUUACCCAUCACAACAGUGGCUGUGGUUCCUGCUGAACAUCCAGGGUGGAAACAGAAUUGAUAUGGACAAGGCUGACAAUGCAACUCAAGAAUUUUGACACUUGUAAACAAAAAAUUACGUGGGUGAAAUCUUUCUAGUUAGCACCAGGAUUCCCAUUAAGUUGCAUGGUUUGAGAAGCUGGCUCAAUGACCACUGACCUGAAGACUAAAAUUUAAAGACAGAAGAAAUGCAGAGCAAAAGGUUCAUAGUUUAAAAAAAAUAAUAACAAUUUAGCUUC